GACAACUGGUGUGGUCUUGACCUCCAAUAGGAUGGCUUCGAUCACCUAUGGUAGGUAUUGUUUCUCUCUUCUUUCACCCCACCCCUUCACUCUUCUAUUUUUUCUAAAUGUGUAUGUCUUUUUUUCAGGUGAGGGCAAGACCACCACGACCACCAAGAGCUAUGAAGUGAUGACAGGGGAAAUCACAAUACCCACUGCAGCUGUUGUUGUUAUUACCGAAAAACCCAGAGACUAAAAUAGAUUUGUAUAUUUUAGUUUAUUAUCCUUGUUUAUUAUACCCUUGAUAGUGCCUGGCUUCCAGCUUUUUAGACAUUAUAAACGCACGCAUU